rnacentral:pre_miRNA from 1 species
AUAAUCUGUUAAUGAAGAGAGCUAUCCGUCGACAGUAUUGCCAGUAAACACUGUCAUGGAGUUGCUCUCUUUAUGAACGGAUGC